rnacentral:rRNA from 1 species
GACGAACGCUGGCGGCGUGCUUAACACAUGCAAGUCGAACGGAAAGGCCCUGCUUUUGUGGGGUGCUCGAGUGGCGAACGGGUGAGUAACACGUGAGUACCUGCCCUUGACUUUGGGAUAACUUCAGGAAACUGGGGCUAAUACCGGAUAGGAGCUCCUGCUGCAUGGUGGGGGGUGGAAAGUUUCGGCGGUUGGGGAUGGACUCGCGGCUUAUCAGCUUGUUGGUGGGGUAGUGGCUUACCAAGGCUUUGACGGGUAGCCGGCCUGAGAGGGUGACCGGCCACAUUGGGACUGAGAUACGGCCCAGACUCCUACGGGAGGCAGCAGUGGGGAAUAUUGCACAAUGGGCGGAAGCCUGAUGCAGCAACGCCGCGUGCGGGAUGACGGCCUUCGGGUUGUAAACCGCUUUCGCCUGUGACGAAGCGUGAGUGACGGUAAUGGGUAAAGAAGCACCGGCUAACUACGUG